ensembl:lncRNA lysine-rich arabinogalactan protein 19-like
UUAUCAAAGUAUUUCUGAAUUAAACUUUUAUCAGACAGGUUAUGCUCCAUUUUUUAGAGAAAUUACAUUCAGUGCAUCUGUUGUAGCAACCUGAAUGUUUCAUUAACAAUCAUUGACAUUAUGGGGUGUUGGUGAGGAGUGUCCAAGAAUCUGCCUCACCUGAUUUACAGAAACGCAUCUGGAACAUUAUUUCACCCUAUUCAUCCCACGUGUUAGUAUGAAAUCAGGAUGGGUCCUGCAGUUUCUCAACAGUUUAAGCAUGUCUCAGAGAAAUAAAGAGAAGGAAAGAAGGAGCUAAGUCGAGAGAAGGGAUCCAUGUCCUUGAACGUCAUAAGCUCUCUGAAACUGGUUGGUUUGGUGCCUAGAAAUUCAAACUCUGACUCAGUGGCUCCUACAAUAAAAGGUGUGCUAUUGCUGUAGACUCCCUUACCUUCUAACAGUCUCCUUUAAUCAAGAUGUGGCUGACAUAUGCUUCUCUUUAAAUCCCAGUCGUCUGAGAGUGCGCAAGGCUUUGCAGUUCCAACUCCCAAGGUACCGGUUCUUCCGCCCUUCAAUGAGCCCAAGAUAAACGGUACAGGAAGUACUACAAACCUCCCAAAUGGAAAGAUGCUUUCUGUCCCUGACCUACUCAAGGGGGAAAUACUUGUACCUCCUCCGCCUAGCUCCGCUCCUCCACCCCCUCCAUCAUUCAUCCCUCCCCUACCACAGUUCUUUGGCGAAAUGGACCCUUCUUUAGAUCGUGCAAGCCUGCAUCCCCCUCCAAUGGCACCCCCAAAACCACCAUCACUUACCAGUUCCAAUUACAGUGCAGAUUUGAACCUGGCCUCCCUCAAACCUCCUCCAAUGCGUCCUCCAAAACCUCCAUCUGAAACUUCCAGCCUCAGAGGUUCCCUCUCUAGCCUGGAUGUCCAAGAUUUCCCAGAAUGCCCCAAGUUCAACCCACCUCCACCACCUGUGAAAGCAUCACCGGUUCUUGCAAAAGCUCAGAAAGCAGCACCUCCAAAACCCGUUCGAAUGUCCUCCAUACCCAAUCUGGACAUCCAGUCCCAAACUCCUGUGCCACCCGUUGCUUCCAACCCAACACCAUCUAGCUUCAACCCCCAGAACACAGCAAAACUCUACAGUGUGCAGAAGAGCACACUUCUUGGUGGACAGACAGAUAGGGAAAAAAAAGUUCAGUCCAUUCUGCUGCUGGAAGAUUCUGCUGGAAACACGGUUGGUGUUGUCAAUGGCAAUAGUGGGAAAAAUGCUGAAUCUUUCCAACCAGGGGGGCUACCAACCAAACCAGCCCGUCGGAACAGCUCCGCCACUCAUCUACAGGAUGACCAGCCAGACAUGGCACAAGCUCCAAGAGAACAAGCUAAGGUAGAGCCCAAAAUCAAUCCUGAGCCUGUAACACCACAAAACAUCCCCACUGAGGUACCAGCACCAAUCAAAAUCUCACCCAAAAUAGAGAAAAGGAUAACGGAUGUUAGGCAGGUGGUGACCCCAGUUGCGUCCCCUGGCAGGCCUCGCAAGUACAGCCCUAUCUUGAACCACCGACAUCUUAACACGCGGGGCGCAGACGGCUCAGUAAAGAAAGAGACCUCAACCUCACCUUUCGCCUUGCUGAUGGCUGCAAAGGAAA